rnacentral:rRNA from 1 species
UACGAAGGGGGCUAGCGUUGUUCGGAAUUACUGGGCGUAAAGCGCGUGUAGGCGGCUCUUUAAGUCAGGGGUGAAAUGCCAAGGCUCAACCUUGGAACUGCCUUUGAUACUGGGGACCUUGAGUCCGGGAGAGGUGAGUGGAAUUGCGAGUGUAGAGGUGAAAUUCGUAGAUAUUCGCAAGAACACCAGUGGCGAAGGCGGCUCACUGGCCCGGAACUGACGCUGAGACGCGAAAGCGUGGGGAGCAAACAGG